rnacentral:rRNA from 1 species
ACACACCGCCCGUCACACCAUGAGAGUUGGGAAUACCCGAAGCCUGUGAGCUAACUUUAGAGGCAGCAGUCGAAGGUAGAAUCAAUGAUUGGGGUGAAGUCGUAACAAGGUACC